GAUGAACGCUGGCGGCGUGCCUAACACAUGCAAGUCGAACGGAAAGGCCCGGCUUUUGUUGGGUGCUCGAGUGGCGAGCGGGUGAGUAUCACGUGAGUAUCCUGCCCUUGACUUUGUGAUAAAUUCAGGAAACUGCGGCUAAUACCGGAUAGGAGCUCCUGCUGCAGGGGGGGGGUUGGAAAGUUUCGGCGGUUGGGGAUGGACUGGCGGCUUAUCAGCUUGUUGGUGGGGUAGUGGCUUACCAAGGCUUUGACGGAUAGCCGGCCUGAGAGGGUGACCGGCGACAAUGCGACUACGGUACGGAGCAGACGCGAACGGGAGGCAGCAGGCGGGAGUAUGGCACAGUGAGCGGAAGUGUGAUACGAAAACGCUGCGUGCGGGAUGCCGGGCUUCGGGGUAAAAACCGCUUUGGCCUGAGACGAAGCGGGAGUGACGGUAAUGGAUAAAGAAGCACCGGCUAACUACGUG
rnacentral:rRNA from 1 species